GAACUUUGCACGCUCAACCUCGCUUCAUCUCUGCUGUGCAUUCUGCUCCAUUCGUCAAUAAGAUUUGGUUUCUCUGGCUGUCUUUAUUCCUUUUUGGCUGCUAUUUUGAUUCUGGAGUAGUGUAACGCCAGAAAUCUUGUUUUGCUGCUGCUGCCAAUCUGGGUUCUCAAUCUAUGGAGUGUGUCUAUCAUCCCUUUUUCUGUUUGGGGCUUCGCAAAUUGUCUUAUACAAUUAUUUGCAAAGGCAAAUAUUUUUGCAAUUUGGUCCUUUUGAAUAUACAAUGGAUAUAUACCUAGCUGCCAACCCUAAUGUUGUUAGGGAUGGUGAAUUAAUUUUUUUGCUUUGUAUGAAUCAUAUUGUUUUGCUAUUCUUUGUUGCUGCAAAUCUAAUCAAAGGUGAUGAUAUUUUUAUCACUAGAGGGCUGUUAUGUCUUUGGCUUUGUUUUUUUUUUUUUUUUUCAUCAUCUGUCUAGCAGAUGGCUGCUAUCCUGCCUAUUGUUUGUGGUAAGAGGUAUUUCAUAACUUUGCUAUAUUGUUUUGCUGAUUCUAUUAGUAAUACCUUUCCAUGCUUUCAAGAAAAUAAAAGCAUCGGUGUGACUCCUCUUUCUUUGAGAAUAAUAACAUGUAAGCUUGUCAUUUGUUUUUCAUUUGAAUGGCCUAUAGAUAAUCUCCACAUUUCUCUAAGCUUCUUUGUCUAUCCAUCACAUUUUUCAUUGUAAUUUGUUGCUCUCACUUCUUAGUAUCUUCCUUCAGUCUAUUUGUUGAUUCUAUUUGAAUGGCCUAUAGAUAAUCUCCCUUGUUUCUUUUUUCUUGUGAGCCCUGUGAAGUGUGAGUUUUAUUAUGUAUAUUUCAAGUAUCAUUGUGUUUCGGUACAAUGCAUGGAAAAAAAAAAGUUCUCAUGAUUUUGUGGAUCCUCCCUGUCACCAAGAUGUUAUAGCUGUAUUUGAACUUGUAACAUUCAACUGGUGCUGAUUUUUAAUGUUACUACUACCAAAUUUUAGCUUUAAUAUGAUUCUGAAUAUGUUGAAUUCUACCAUACGCACAAGAGGAACAGUUUCCCAAUUGUACAUUGAAGAUGUGAUUCGAGAAAUAAUGUUAAGAUAUUGUCAAGGAAAUAAGGACCCAUGACUAUAUUUUCUU